rnacentral:rRNA from 1 species
UACAGAGGUCUCAAGCGUUGUUCGGAUUCAUUGGGCGUAAAGGGUGCGUAGGUGGCGUGGUAAGUCGGGUGUUAAACCCCCAGGCUCAACCUGGGGACGCCACUCGAUACUGCUGUGACUUGAGUCCGGUAGGGGAGCGUGGAAUUCCUGGUGUAGCGGUGAAAUGCGCAGAUAUCAGGAGGAACACCAGCGGCGAAGGCGGCGCUCUGGGCCGGUACUGACACUGAGGAGCGAAAGCGUGGGUAGCAAACAGG